UACGAAGGGGGCUAGCGUUGCUCGGAAUCACUGGGCGUAAAGCGCACGUAGGCGGGUCGUUAAGUCGGGGGUGAAAUCCUGGAGCUCAACUCCAGAACUGCCUUCGAUACUGGCGACCUUGAGUCCGGGAGAGGUAAGUGGAACUCCGAGUGUAGAGGUGAAAUUCGUAGAUAUUCGGAAGAACACCAGUGGCGAAGGCGGCUCACUGGCCCGGUACUGACGCUGAGGUGCGAAAGCGUGGGGAGCAAACAGG
rnacentral:rRNA from 1 species